GAUGAACGCUGGCGGCGUGCCUAACACAUGCAAGUCGAGCGAAGCACUUUGCUUAGAUUCUUCGGAUGAAGAGGAUUGUGACUGAGCGGCGGACGGGUGAGUAACGCGUGGGUAACCUGCCUCAUACAGGGGGAUAACAGUUAGAAAUGACUGCUAAUACCGCAUAAGACCACAGCACCGCAUGGUGCAGGGGUAAAAACUCCGGUGGUAUGAGAUGGACCCGCGUCUGAUUAGCUAGUUGGUAAGGUAACGGCUCACCAAGGCGACGAUCAGUAGCCGGUCUGAGAGGAUGAACGGCCACAUUGGGACUGAGAUACGGCCCAG
rnacentral:rRNA from 1 species